rnacentral:rRNA from 1 species
AGAGUUUGAUCAUGGCUCAGAACGAACGCUGGCGGCACGCCUAACACAUGCAAGUCGAGCGCACUUAUGAUCUUCGGAUUAUAGGCGAGCGGCGGACGGGUUAGUAACGCGUGGGAACGUACCCUUUACUAAGGAAUAGCCUUUGGAAACGAAGAGUAAUACCUUAUACGCCCUUCGGGGGAAAGAUUUAUCGGUAAAGGAUCGGCCCGCGUAAGAUUAGAUAGUUGGUGGGGUAAUGGCCUACCAAGUCUACGAUCUUUAGCUGGUUUGAGAGGAUGAUCAGCAACACUGGGACUGAGACACGGCCCAGACUCCUACGGGAGGCAGCAGUGGGGAAUCUUAGACAAUGGGCGAAAGCCUGAUCUAGCGAUGCCGCGUGAGUGAAGAAGGCCUUAGGGUCGUAAAACUCUUUCGCCAGAGAUGAUAAUGACAGUAUCUGGUAAAGAAACCCCGGCUAACUCCGUGCCAGCAGCCGCGGUAAUACGGAGGGGGUUAGCGUUGUUCGGAAUUACUGGGCGUAAAGCGCACGUAGGCGGACUGAUCAGUUAGAGGUGAAAUCCCAGGGCUCAACCCUGGAACUGCCUUUAAUACUGUCAGUCUAGAGAUCGAGAGAGGUGAGUGGAAUUCCUAGUGUAGAGGUGAAAUUCGUAGAUAUUAGGAGGAACACCAGUGGCGAAGGCGGCUCACUGGCUCGAUACUGACGCUGAGGUGCGAAAGCGUGGGGAGCAAACAGGAUUAGAUACCCNGGUAGUCCACGCCGUAAACGAUGAGAGCUAGACGUCGGGCAGCAUGCUGUUCGGUGUCGCAGUUAACGCAUUAAGCCCUCCGCCUGGGAGUACGGUCGCAAGAUUAAAACUCNNUGAA